AAGGUGUGCACCACCAAUGCCGGGCGAGUUGGAUUCUUUCAAUGGGACCUGAAGCUCCUGUUAUCCACCUACCAUCCCCAAUCCUGAACCACACAGGCCUUCAGGACCAAGACAACAGAUUGCACCUGACAAACGUUCCGGUGAGAAAGACGUGACCACACAUUCCUGGUGUUUUCACAAGCUUCUUGCAAGAAAAGGGAGCAGCAGAAACAGCCAAAGGGUCCCCUCCCCUCUGAGGAACAGGACACAUGAGGUGCUGGUCUACAGACAGGACCAUGCCGAGUGCUUUACAAUGGGACCAGAACGACCAAACAGACAAGCCCAUGCAUCCGCCCGUGACUCACGGGUGAGUGUCCUGACCCCUGGCCACCUCCCCAUGCUCAUGCUGCCUUUCUCAUGACAUUGAAUAAUUACAGCUCUGGCUAAUGUAACUAAUGGGACAGGCAUAAGCUCUCUCCACGUCAGUUUCCUUAUCUGUGAAAUGGGGCUAGUCAGAGCUCCCACAGAACAGGGCUGUUGGGAUGAAGCCACCCAACAUUAGGAAAUUAGAUGCUCAGCACCGUGUCACACUGGCUUUAGAUGUUAAAACAAGGCUCGUGUAAAUGAUCCUGUGCAGGCCUGGUUGAGAUGUUCCCCCAAAUAUCCCCCUCUCCGACCUUGACUUCAUGGUCAUCAUUUGGGAGUCUGAUUGGCAGUCUGCUUUUCCUAGGUAGUUUACACCGUGGACUAUGGGCAAGAAUAUUUUACCUUGGUAGCUAAGUGGGCAGGCACUGGAAACCUAGCAGCAGUCCUGAGUUCAAUUCAGUUUCUUUUCUUGGUGUGGAGGUGGAGAGUCUUGGGGCUAUGCAGCUGCUGAGCAGUGGAGGCUUGCACACACGGUGUGGCCCUUUGGCUUUAGAAGACAAGGCCAUGUGUGAUGAGUGAAGUUCCAGGGAAAAAAAAGGGAAAGGGCCGGCGCUAAGGGCCCCAAGGCAGGACCCUGAGUCGGCAGGCCUUGGCAUGGAUGCGUGUCCAGCCAUUGGCUGGUAGCAGGUGGGACAAGCUGCCUCCACGUCUAAUUUGUAGAACAGGGUAGGUCCUAUCACCCUCCUCUUAGCAAGGAUUAAAUGAUGAGUCGUGGGACUCACUUAGGCAGCUGCCAUUCCGGUCAUUGCCAAGACUAUCAUCAUUAAUUUUCCCCUCAGUGAGAGGGUGUGGUGACCUACACUUUAAAAAAAGUACCUGUCAUCCCGGGAACCGCCAGUAGAAGGCAGGCUCUGCCCGUAGACGCUGGCACCGUGCGCUGACAUCCUGGGUAUCCAGAGCCCAGGAGUGUGAGCCCAGAGUUUCAAAGUUAAUAGCAGUUGGUCUCCCC
rnacentral:lncRNA from 1 species